UUCUUUAAGUAAUCAUUUAAAGUAAGACCUGCUCAAUGACAAGUUUCUAUAGCCGCAGUUCACUGUGCUAAGGUAGCAUAAUAAUUUGCUUCUUAAUUAGAAGAUAGAAUGAAUGGUUAAACACCUAAAAAUGUUACUAUUUACAUAACGAACCUAGGAUUAAGAUAAAAACCUCUUUAAAAAAGAGUGGGACGACAAGACCCUGAUAAACUCGAUAUUUAGUUGGGGAAACUUCAUAAAAAAACUUUAUUACAUUCAUAAACAAACUUAAAAUAAAACACAGUUACUACAGGGAUAACAGCGCAAUUUCCUUUAAGAGUCCUAAUCAAAAAGGAAGAUUACGACCUCGAUGUUGAAUUAAUAAACCUUAUAAGAGCACAAACUUAUAGCCGGUAGUCUGUUCGACCAUUAAAUAAUU
rnacentral:rRNA from 1 species